rnacentral:rRNA from 1 species
AAACUGGGUCUAAUACUGGAUGCUACAUGUCACCGCAUGGUGGUGUGUGGAAAGGGUUUACUGGUCUUGGAUGGGCUCACGGCCUAUCAGCUUGUUGGUGAGGUAAUGGCUCACCAAGGCGACGACGGGUAGCCGGCCUGAGAGGGUGACCGGCCACACUGGGACUGAGACACGGCCCAGACUCCUACGGGAGGCAGCAGUGGGGAAUAUUGCACAAUGGGCGAAAGCCUGAUGCAGCGACGCCGCGUGAGGGAUGACGGCCUUCGGGUUGUAAACCUCUUUCAGCAGGGAAGAAGCCACAAGUGACGGUACCUGCAGAAGAAGCGCCGGCUAACUACGUGCCAGCAGCCGCGGUAAUACGUAGGGCGCAAGCGUUGUCCGGAAUUAUUGGGCGUAAAGAGCUCGUAGGCGGUUUGUCGCGUCUGCUGUGAAAGCCCGGGGCUUAACCCCGGGUGUGCAGUGGGUACGGGCAGACUAGAGUGCAGUAGGGGAGACUGGAAUUCCUGGUGUAGCGGUGGAAUGCGCAGAUAUCAGGAGGAACACCGAUGGCGAAGGCAGGUCUCUGGGCUGUUACUGACGCUGAGGAGCGAAAGCAUGGGGAGCGAACAGGAUUAGAUACCCUGGUAGUCCAUGCCGUAAACGUUGGGCACUAGGUGUGGGGGACAUUCCACGUUUUCCGCGCCGUAGCUAACGCAUUAAGUGCCCCGCCUGGGGAGUACGGCCGCAAGGCUAAAACUCAAAGGAAUUGACGGGGGCCCGCACAAGCGGCGGAGCAUGCGGAUUAAUUCGAUGCAACGCGAAGAACCUUACCAAGGCUUGACAUGUACCGGAUCGUUCCAGAGAUGAUUCUUCCCCUUUGGGGUCGGUAUACAGGUGGUGCAUGGUUGUCGUCAGCUCGUGUCGUGAGAUGUUGGGUUAAGUCCCGCAACGAGCGCAACCCUCGUUCCAUGUUGCCAGCACGUGAUGGUGGGGACUCAUGGGAGACUGCCGGGGUCAACUCGGAGGAAGGUGGGGAUGACGUCAAAUCAUCAUGCCCCUUAUGUCUUGGGCUUCACGCAUGCUACAAUGGCCGGUACAAAGGGUUGCGAUACUGUGAGGUGGAGCUAAUCCCAAAAAGCCGGUCUCAGUUCGGAUUGAGGUCUGCAACUCGACCUCAUGAAGUCGGAGUCGCUAGUAAUCGCAGAUCAGCAACGCUGCGGU